UGAACGCUGACAGAAUGCUUAACACAUGCAAGUCUACUUGAUCCUUCGGGUGAAGGUGGCGGACGGGUGAGUAACGCGUAAAGAACUUGCCUUACAGACUGGGACAACAUUUGGAAACGAAUGCUAAUACCGGAUAUUAUGAUUGGGUCGCAUGAUCUGGUUAUGAAAGCUAUAUGCGCUGUGAGAGAGCUUUGCGUCCCAUUAGUUAGUUGGUGAGGUAACGGCUCACCAAGACGAUGAUGGGUAGCCGGCCUGAGAGGGUGAACGGCCACAAGGGGACUGAGACACGGCCCUUACUCCUACGGGAGGCAGCAGUGGGGAAUAUUGGACAAUGGACCAAAAGUCUGAUCCAGCAAUUCUGUGUGCACGAAGAAGUUUUUCGGAAUGUAAAGUGCUUUCAGUUGGGAAGAAGUCAGUGACGGUACCAACAGAAGAAGCGACGGCUAAAUACGUGCCAGCAGCCGCGGUAAUACGUAUGUCGCAAGCGUUAUCCGGAUUUAUUGGGCGUAAAGCGCGUCUAGGCGGCUUAGUAAGUCUGAUGUGAAAAUGCGGGGCUCAACCCCGUAUUGCGUUGGAAACUGCUAAACUAGAGUACUGGAGAGGUAGGCGGAACUACAAGUGUAGAGGUGAAAUUCGUAGAUAUUUGUAGGAAUGCCGAUGGGGAAGCCAGCCUACUGGACAGAUACUGACGC
rnacentral:rRNA from 1 species